rnacentral:lncRNA from 1 species
GAAAAGGCUACAAUAAAGCUAUCAGUUAUAAACUUAUAAAUGCUACAUUAUAAGGUAUCUAAAAAUCUGAUGCUCAUUCACUAUAAAUUUCCAUCCACAUAAGAUGACUAAUCUAUUUAUAAGAAAGCAGACACAAAUAAAACAAAUAAUCCCAGAGCUUUAUGCUUAUCGAUGGAAGCCUUUCUUCCAUCAGUCUAAUAACUUCAUACCCAAUCACUUUGACGUUUCCAGGUCAGUAACUACUCAUGGUCAUCCAAUUACUACCAAUAAAGCUAUCAGUUAUAAACUUAUAAAUGCUACAUUAUAAGGUAUCUAAAAAUCUGAUGCUCAUUCACUAUAAAUUUCCAUCCACAUAUGAUGACUAAUCUAUUUAUAAGAAAGCAGACACAAAUAAAACAAAUAAUCCCAGAGCUUUAUGCUUAUCGAUGGAAGCCUUUCUUCCAUCAGUCUAAUAACUUCAUACCCAAUCACUUUGACGUUUCCAGGUCAGUAACUACUCAUGGUCAUCCAAUUACUACCCAGAUUGUUAACCAAUAGAUGCACAUCACUUGAUGCUUAAUUGAUUCUUAGAUUGUAGAAUAUGAGUCUCAAGUCGUGCUUAUAUGCAGUAAUUUUGCUCCCACCAAUGGAACCCUGAGUUAUUCCAAGUUUUUAACAUGUAUCUCCAACAGCUACAUUAAUACAGCUUACGAACAAUACAAAGGUACAGUUUUUUUCAACAAGGAACCAUUUUAUCUUCAGCAAAUUGUCUCUCUAACCCUGCAGUUAUUAAGUCAUCCAUAAAUCAAAUCCUCUUACUCCCACUUUACCAUGAUUUAGAAAUUAGAAUCAUACAUUAAAACCACCUGCAGGCAU